rnacentral:misc_RNA from 1 species
GUCAAAAUUUGGCGGCUAAUACCCAAGCUGGUCUGUUGUCCAUCUGAAAUCAUGGAAAGCAAUCCAGAGGGUUUCUGAACCAUUUCCUCAACUAAAAUACAGCAACCGUAUAGAGUUGAAUUAUCAGCAACCUGAAGCCGGAACACAAAGGACAGAUCAUUUUGUUUAAGGUGUUCCUGACCCAGAAGUAUUUCGUUCAACUCACUCAUUGAUGGAGUUCUCUCAACAGCAUGAACCUCUACUCCUGCUGGAAAGCAAAAUGAGAGAAGAUCCUUGUAUUUCAGUGGCAGUGGUUUCUCUGGAGGGUAAACAAAUAAGACCUGAGGCUCA